rnacentral:rRNA from 1 species
UCCAGACUCCUACGGGAGGCAGCAGUGGGGAAUAUUGCACAAUGGGGGGAACCCUGAUGCAGCGACGCCGCGUGGGUGAAGGAGCACCUCGGUGCGUAAAGCCCUAUCGGCAGGGAAGAAACAGACGGUACCUGACUAAGAAGCCCCGGCUAACUACGUGCCAGCAGCCGCGGUAAUACGUAGGGGGCGAGCGUUAUCCGGAUUCACUGGGUGUAAAGGGAGCGUAGACGGCCAAGCAAGCCAGGGGUGAAAGCCCGGGGCCCAACCCCGGGACUGCCCUUGGAACUGCACGGCUGGAGUGCGGGAGGGGCAGGCGGAAUUCCUGGUGUAGCGGUGAAAUGCGUAGAUAUCAGGAGGAACACCGGUGGCGAAGGCGGCCUGCUGGACUGCAACUGACGUUGAGGCCCGAAAGCGUGGGGAGCAAACAGGAUUAGAUACCCUAGUA